UACGAAGGGGGCUAGCGUUGCUCGGAAUCACUGGGCGGAAAGGGUGCGUAGGCGGGUCUUUAAGUCAGGGGGGAAAUCCUGGAGCUCAACUCCAGAACUGCCUUUGAUACUGAAGAUCUUGAGUUCGGGAGAGGUGAGUGGAACUGCGAGUGUAGAGGUGAAAUUCGUAGAUAUUCGCAAGAACACCAGUGGCGAAGGCGGCUCACUGGCCCGAUACUGACGCUGAGGCACGAAAGCGUGGGGAGCAAACAGG
rnacentral:rRNA from 1 species